AGUGCAAUCCUGAAUGUAUGUACAGGCUGGGGAAUGAGAAGUUGGAGAGCAGCCCUGCAGAAAGGGAUCUGGGGGUUCUGUUUGAUGACAAGUUGCAUAUGAGUCAACAGUGUACCCUGGAAGCCAAAAGGACCAACCAUGAAGCAUAGCAUCUUUAGCUGGUCGAGGGAUGUGGUUGUCCUGCUCUGCUCUGUGCUGGUACAGCCACACCACUGCUGUGUGCAGUUUGGGGGCAUCACUGUAUAAGAAGGAAAUAAAACUAUUAAAGAGCAUCCAAAGGACAGCUACAAAUAUGGUGAAGGCUUUACAUAUAAGUGGAUGAAUUUACUUGGAUUGUUCAUCCUAGAGUGGAGUAGACUGAAGAGAGACCUCAGCUUUCUCACUGUGGUGAUCAACAGCUUCCUCAUGAGGUAGAUCAGAGGGGCAGGCAGUAAUCUCUCUGUUGACCAGUGAAAGAACCUGAGGGAAUGGCAUGAAGCUGCACCAGGGCAGGUUUGGUCUGCAUGUUAGGAAAAGGUUCUUCAAUGAGAGGGUGGUUAACUACUGGAACAAGUUCCCAGGGGCAGGGGUCACUGCACUGAGCUUGCUGGAGUUCAGGAAGUGUUUGGAUAAUGCUCUCAGAUAUAUGGGCUGAUUGUUAAAUAGUACUUUGUGA